UACGUAGGGGGCUAGCGUUGUCCGGAAUCAUUGGGCGUAAAGAGCGCGUAGGCGGCCCGGUAAGUCCGCUGUAAAAGUCCAGGGCUCAACCCUGGAAAGCCGGUGGAUACUGUCGGGCUCGAGUCCGGAAGAGGCGAGUGGAAUUCCUGGUGUAGUGGUGGAAUGCGCAGAUAUCAGGAGGAACACCAAUGGCGAAGGCAGCACUCUGGGACGUGACUGACGGCUGAGACGCGAAAGCGUGGGGAGCAAACAGG
rnacentral:rRNA from 1 species